AGGGAGGGCCACACGGUCGCUGGGAACUGGCGGAGAGCCGUGCCCUUCUCGACGUCGAAGACGUGGAUCCGCUGAUCGGCGGAGGCGAGAAUCAGCUCGUCUCGAGGGCCGCGGGUGAUGCCGAUCCAACGAGCCCCCGGAAGAUCUGGCCGCCAGCCGGCGGGCGCGUCGGGCGUGAGCAGGCUUCCGGCGAUCGGAUCGACGACCCACCAGCGCCCCCCGAUCCACUGCGCGCAGUACGGCCCGGCGGAUUGGGGGAGGGGCAGACUGCUCUCGGACGCCUCCCCGCUGGACGAGUCGUAGUGGACGAGCGAUCCGCCACGCGUCAGGUAUCGGACCCGCUUGCUUCCGUCGCCGCCGACUUCCGCCGCGAAGCCGAUCACGUCCGGACCCGGGAAGGGGAGAGGAACCGAGAGCUCCCCGAAGCGAAUCUCCCGCCAGUCGCGGACCAGCCACUCGGGCGAGGCCGAGCCGACCCCUCCGGUGGCGGGGCCAGCUCGAGGGGGCGCCCGGGCACUGGGCUCGAGGAGACCUCCCGCAGCGCAAUCGCCCCUUCGGGACGACCCGGCUCGAGCGAGGCCAGCUCCCGAAGGAUCGCGAAGGCCGCCUGCCGGUGAGCCCAGUCCGUGCGCACCCGGAGGCCCGCUGUGGGGCUGAGCGGGGUCUCGAAGCUCGACGCCAUUCCCCCGAACGCGGACAAGCGCUCGGCCAACCAGCGCUCCCACUGGGUCGGUAACUCGAAGUGCCAGACGAUCUCGUCGGGCCGGGCCGCCUCGAUCCGCUCGAUCAGGUGCGAGGCGAAGUCCGUCUUCGUGGCGUCGAAGACGGCGCCGAUGAGCGGCGGCUCCACGUCGAAGUUCCGGACCAGGGGAUAGAACUCGA
rnacentral:misc_RNA from 1 species